rnacentral:lncRNA from 1 species
CUGAAGGCUAUCUCCACCCUCACUGUCCCUUAGGGCACGGAUUAACUGGACAAGUAUUUACAGAAUUCCUACAGUGCACUAGACACUUGAGAAACAAAACGAAACAAAAAAACCCAGAGUCCGUUCUUACAGUCUAUGAUAGUAGAAAAUAGGCAAAUGUGUGUCCGAUUACAAAUAGCCAUAAUGCAAAGGAAAACGAGAGCAGACACCAAGUGAUAACAAGAGCAAUAGAAUUUAGACUAGGGUGAGGGAGUGGCCAGAGAUAAGAUUAUACAUUAAUGCAACAGGCUAAUUAGCCGGUUGGUUAGUCUGGACCAGAGAGGUAGUCAGGGCCUCCUGCCGGGGCUACAGAGAACCCGAACCCUAGCUUUCUGCGCAUUUUCCUUUCCCUGCGCGGUAGGGGAUUGUGAGGAGAGAAUGCUACGGCCAUUUUGCCAUUUUCUGAAGUAAAGAGCUCCUGAGAUUGGAGAUCCGGGUGACUCCAGAAUAAGGGCGACAGAAGUCAUACGUGACUUUUUAUUUUAUUUUUAUUUUUGGACGCUUUGGGCUAAAACAGGAAGGGUAGGGUCUUCCACGCCCUGAUGCAUUGGAGCAGCUGGCGUCUUGCCUCCCUCCCCAACCCAGAAUGUGGUGCUUUAUCGCCACCUGGUGGUUGUAGUGGACACUGCAUGGGGUGGCCGGACCCCGCCGCCUAGGGUGCGACAACUCACUGCGGAAAGAUCAUUCCUGUUCUGUGACAGAAGAAGAAAUGCUGAUGGCCCACAUGAUACUGUGGGUCUCCACGGCGACACUGCAUACAGAGCAGCCCCUGAAGAAUGCUGAAGGGAAGGCCAAGAGCUCUGAAAGAUCCCUGGAAGGGAGCCAAAAGCGCACUGCUUAACCUCUGUCCAACCCGUAUAGUGGCUAUCGCGCUCAGGGUGUGUGAGGAUAACAGAUCGAGGGGUGCCCGGAGGGAGCGGGCACUGAGACCACCCCUAACAAACAGUGAGCUUUGUUGUAUUGUAAAGUGAUGUAAUGUGUUUACAUCACACUUCAAGUAUGUAAAGGGAGUUACUAACGUCUUUCUUCUUCCUAAAAUAGUCAGGUCUUGCUUGUUGUGAUGGCGUACACCUAUAACCACAACACUUGGGAGGCUGAGGUAAGAGGACCGAAUUCUAGGACAACCUGUGCUAAAUAGUGAGGACCCUAUCUCAAAGAUACACACACGCACACACACAAGCACUCACACACCCACACACCUCUGUAGAAUGUAGAAAAAAAAAAGUGGUUUUGACCCAAGAGUCACUGAAGAAAGGAAAAUGACCUGGGGUUCCCCGGGGUCCCUGUUAGAACAUCUGUUGUUGUCACCUGUUGAAGCUGUUGCUGGUCCCCUAAAUGUCUUCCUUCCAGAGAUUACAGGACACCGAAGAAUGCUAUUCCAGAGGAUGCAGUGGGAAAUAUCCGGAACCUCACAGGAAUGACACAGGGCCAAACCCAGGUUCAGCAAGCACCCUUUGGCCACCUGCUGUGAGCCGAGGCAACCUCCACAGAGAUUCACAGCCAGCGGGUCCCGACAACACAGCAAUUUCAUUUGGGAAAAACGCUUGCUGUGAAUAUUGACUAAUAUUUUUCUGAGUUUACUAGGUGCCCACUGUUUUAAAAGACAUUAAACAAGACGAUCAGAUUCUUGCCUUCAAGCAACUUGUCUUUCAAUGACUUUUCUACAUAUGGUGUGUUCUCUACUUAUUAUUUUUUCUCUACUUAUUUUUUAAAGGCACAAUUUACGGGCAGUCACCCUUUUAAGGAUAUAGUCCUAUGAGCAUUGACAAAUGUGGCUGUGUAGCCAUCAUCAAAACCAAAAUAUAGCAGUACACUUCCGCUGCCUCUAUAACCUUUCUCUGUGCUUUGGCACUAAUCUACCCUUCAGCUCUAACCACUGCCUGCCUCUGCCCCCGUUUCUGUUCUUGUAGCUCCUCCUUCAAUCUGAAUGAAAUCUUAUAGUGGGUAGCCUUUUUAAAACAGGUGUGUGUGUGUGUGUGUGUGUGUGUGUGUGUGUGUGUGUGUGUAUGUAUGUGUGUGUGUGUGUGUGUGUGUAAGAGACAGACAGACAGACAGACAGAGACACACAGAGAGCCAGAGUGCACAUGUAGAGCACAUGCCUGUAGAAGACAGUUCUUUCUUUCAGGAGCUCCUUCCACAGCAGGUUCCAGGUGUCAAAUGCAGGUCAUCAGGCUUGUGGGACAAGUGCUUUUGUCCCCUGGGUCUUGCUGGCCCCAGUGUGUAGCUUUCUGUGUAGUUGUUUUGGUUUUUGUUUGUUUUUCUUGGUGCUGAGGGUUGACUCUGGCCCUUGUGCCAGCGAGGCCUGUGCUCCUCCACUGAGCUAUAGUCCUACCUACAGUGGCCACCACCGUUUUGAUUUGCUUUGGGGGAUCCAUCUUUAUUAAUAUGCAUAUCAUUGGCUUAUUUUUUCCUUCAGCUUUUUAUUAUGAACCUACAGGCUUAUCACCUAGAUUGAGUAAUUGAUUGCAUUUUGCCUUUUUUUUUUUUUUUUUUUUUUUUAGGUUUUUCGAGACAGGGUUUCUCUGUAUAGCCCCGGCUGUCCUGGAACUCACUCUGUAGAUCAGGCUGGCCUCGAACUUAGAAAUCCAUCUGCCUCUGCCUCCCAAGUGCUGGGAUUAAAGGCGUGCACCACCACGCCCGGUUGCAUUUUGCCUUUGUGAGAAGUGGCUGCACUCUCACAAACUAUACUCAUUUGCACCAGCAGUGUGUAAGUUGUAGUUGCUCUGGGUAGAGUCUUUCUUGUUUUGUUAUUGAUACAGGGUCUUGCUAUGCAGUCCCAGACUGGCCUAAAACUCAGCCCAAGCUAAGCUCAGAUUCCAGGUUGUCCUGCCUCAGAGCACGGCACGCAGAGGCUACAAGCAUCCGUCACCAUAACUGGCUUGAUAAUAACGACCGGUGUUCCCUCCCUCCCCAUGGACAGAACUUGGCUUCCCAACAAGGAUCUCCAGUGUUUAAAUUGGUACAUGGUGCACAAAAAGCAUUAGUACUUGUGAGGUGAGCGUGACUAGGAAACCUCUUGUGACCCCUCCUCUCAUCCUGUGCCUCUCGUGGUUUUUUGUUUGUUUGGUUGGUUGUUUUUGUUUUUGUUUUGUUUUGUUUUGUUUUGUUUUUUUCCUGCAGUUACUGUGGCAACCAACUUGCAGUAAGUAGAGCUGCUUGGCCUGUCCGCCCCUCUCAGCCCCUCUCAGCCCCUCUCAGGGGUUGUCUCAGUGCCUCUGCCUAUCGAUUCCUACUGUGCAGCCCGGAAGCCUGGCACAUGGCACUGGAAGCCAAUGAAACAUAACCCUUUCUCUGAUGCUCACUGGACACUUGGGUGCAUUCUCCCCUGCUUUGAGGUUUGUUCCCACUGGGUCAGGACCCAGGUGUCCCACAUCGAGUCUCAUUGUGCUAUGACCCUUUCUACUGCUCUCCAGACAGUAUUUUUCUUUCUUUCUUUUUUAA